UAUAUUGCGAUGAUAAGGACAUGAAUUUUUCUAAUUUUUCUUUGCAGAGAACAGGGUCAUUGGCUGCGAGCCCUGAAGAAAAAGGAAAAUUUACCACCUUUGAGCUAUUAUGGGGAAAAGGAUUUGCUUAGUAUCCAUAAUCGGAAAAAACCGUUAUCUAUUUGAGCGUAAAGCAGCUGCAUGCUUUGCGAAAUUAGGGUGGCACCACGACCGCACUCGUCCCUUGU
rnacentral:ncRNA from 1 species